UUUAACAAAUAAUGUGCGCGUCGUUUUUACGAGCGACGUGCGCACGUUGAUGAGCUUUUCCGAAAAAACCAGGUUUUUUUGGUGGCGCAUAAUGAACAGCGUGGGCUUUUUCUUCGAUUCUUGUGUAGUAAAUCUUCAAAACAACGCUUGGGUUGAGAAAAAGUGCGUGCCGCGCAAUGGGUGUGGCGAAUUUACCCCUGCCCCAAUGCCACUCUUUCCCUGCGAAAGAACAUCUUUUAU
rnacentral:misc_RNA from 1 species